GUGACAGGCUGAGAGGCGAGGUGGGUUUGAUGAAGGAGAGGAACAGACGGUAGGCGGUGAUGGACGUGUUGUAAAUCGUGAGGAGCGGAGGGUGGCAGAGCUAACAACAAGGCUCCCCAUCCCUCUAUAAUCAACACAAGACACAGAUUACAACUGUUAAUGCCCCUCUAUAACUUAACUCCUACCUUGAGGCACUGAGAAGAUAGAAACCGCCCUGACUCUCGCCGGUCUGAACACAUUUUAAUUCAACAUCAAGGUCGCAAACUUAUUUUUUGAUAAGGACUCUCAAAAAAAUAAAUAAAUAAAUAAAAAAAAAAUAAAAUAAAAUAAAUAAAUAAAUAAAUAAAUAAAAUAAAAUAAAAUAAAAUAAAUAAAAUUACGCUGUUAUCCCUAAAGUAAUUUGUUCUUCUAAUCCUUAAUAUAAGGAUCAUUUACAAACUCUAAUCACAUAUAAUUGUCCAAUUACAAUAGCAGUUAUUU